rnacentral:sRNA from 1 species
UUUCAUCAAAACUAAAAUGACUGCUCUGCAAAGGGAUGAUGCUAACAGAAUAAAAAAGACAAGCUAAGAUUAGGAGAAAAUAUUGCAAAGAAUAUAUCCAGUGUGUGUUCUGAAUAUACAGAGAAAUCUCAAAGCUCAACAGGAAGAAAACAAACCAAUUGAAAAUGGGCAAAAUACUUGAACAGACACUCUACCAAAGUGGAUAUACAGAUAUCAGAUACACACAUGAAAAGAUGUUCAACAUAGCCAUCAGGGAAAUGCACAUUAAAGCCACAGUGAGAUAUCACUUACACCCAUUGAAAAAUGACUAAAAUAAAAAAAAAAUCUGAUAGUAAUACCAAAUGCCAUCGAGGAUGAGGAACAGCUGAAAGUCGUGCAUUGCUGGAGGGAACAUGCCACUGUGGAAACAGGUGGGUGCUUUCUUAUAGACUUGUGUGUGCUCUCACCUUAUGCCCAGGAGUCCCUCUCCUGUAUGUUCAACCCAGAGAUAUGCAAGCUGUGUUCACACAAAAACCUGUACGUGAAUGAUUAUACUAGCUCUCUUUAUAAUUGCAAAAAACACCUGGAAACAACCCAAGUGUCCUUCAUCUGGAUAAUCCUUAAGGAUAAACUGGUACGUCCACACAACAGAAUACCACUGAGCAGUGAAGAGGAGCCAGUUAUUGAAACAGGUAAUUUGGACGAACCCCAGAAACGGUACAGUGAGUGAAAGAAACUUGUCUUGAAAGGUUAUGUACUGUUUGGUUCCAUUUAUACGAUAUUCUCAAGAAGACACAAGACCAUGGGGAUGGAGACCAGAUCGGUGGCUUGAGAGGCUGGGGCCGGGGAGGGCAUGACCACCAGAGAAAAGGGUAAAGAGUGUUUUGGGUGGCAGAUCUGUGUGUAUGCUGGCUGUGGUUGUGAGGACAAAAUCCACACAAGCGCUAAAGUUCAUAGGCUGUACACCAAAAAAGCUGUUUCACUAUAUAACUGAAAAAAUAAGAUUGAAAAAUAAGAUGUAUAUAUUUUUUGUGUGCGUGUGUAGAAAAAUACUUGACGGUAAACUGCAGAGUGAUAACAGUGGUUCCUUCUGGGUAUUGGGUUAAUAUGUGAUUUUUAUUUUUGUUUAAGCUUUUCUAAGUUUUCUACAUUUUCCAUACAAAACAUGUAUUCUAUAAUAAAAGCAGCUUGAGAUUAUUUAAGGAAGCAAAACACUUCUGUUGUUUCUCAUCAACUACAGGAUGAAGCGCAGGCUCCCCAGGUGGCUUGCAAGGGCCACAGGCCUUGGCCCCACCUCGCUGGUGCUCCCUCUACUCCUUUCUGUGUUUGAAGCAAGUUCUGGUUCAGACAGAAAGCCUGGCCUUUGAGGGCAUUGGGUCCCCACUUCCUCAGUCAUAGAUGUGAUGUGCUUCCCUUGACUUGGGACCUUCUGAGGGAUGCAAGGUGGACCAAAGGACCACGUGAAUGGCCAGGGCAUGCCUGCGUGGCUUUUGGUUUCUUAAGCAGUGAUUUCAGUCCACUUAAAGGGUUGUGAAAAUUCUGAGAAUGCUACAGACCAAAUAUAUUUUAUGUAACAGUUGGGACCCUGCAACACUUCAGGGUUCUUUCAAAAUCUGGUAGCUAUGAGCUCUUCUGUGACUGAGAUGGGCCAAAAGUGAAGAUUUGUCCUUGCUGUUAGCUCUGCUCCAGUUCAUAGUUCUAAUGGGAAAUUAUGUGACUUAAACCCAGGCUGUGAGAUGCAUCAGUGACCAUUACGUGUGGACAUAAAAUAAACCCUCGAGAUGUUCUCUUGCAUGGUACACUGGCCUAGGCAGGAAUAUUCUUGAGGCUAAAACUGUAGAACUCUCAGACUAGUGUUACGAAUGUGGUGGUGAGAGGCCUGUGUAGCCACAGGGCCUGUGAUGUGUCUCCUGUGUGUCUUUCAUUCCUAUGCAGUUUGAGUUCAUGAUCGAGUCCAUCCUGUAUGCCCGGGAUGCCUGGCUGAAGGAGGAUGGGGUCAUUUGGCCCACCAUGGCUGCGUUGCACCUUGUGCCCUGCAGUGCUGAUAAGGAUUAUCGUAGCAAGGUGCUCUUCUGGGACAACGCGUACGAGUUCAACCUCAGCGCUCUGAAAUCUUUAGCAAUUAAGGAGUUUUUUUCAAAGCCCAAGUAUAACCACAUUUUGAAACCAGAAGACUGUCUCUCUGAACCGUGCACUAUAUUGCAGUUGGACAUGAGAACCGUGCAAAUUUCUGAUCUAGAGGUGAGAAAAAGAUGAGUUGCUCCUUAUAUUCGAUAAUCAGUGACCACGAAACACUCAGACCAGAGCCUGGCUUAUCAUAAACCUUCAGUGAGUGCUGGGGGUGUGAGUGAAUAACUAAUUAUUUUAUUAUACAAAUAAGUGAAUUUAUAAAACGUUUGCUACUGAUUUUUUCCGGUCUUUUUUUUUUACGUUCUAUUUUGAUUCUUUCAUAUUGUGCAUCAUUUUCUUUAUAAAUGUCUCCAGCGUCUUCAUUUUAGAUUUAUGUUUAAUAUUCUCAGCAUCUUCAAAAUCAAAUAAAUUAUAUUCCGUUUCAUUAUGGUAUUUGCAUUACAGUUUUUUUCAGGUGUUUUUAGCCGCUCUUCAUGACAGGAUUGUUAGAAUUCCCUCCGUGAAUCCCUGUCUGUGGCCGCGCGGUGGCGCUCGUGGGCUCUGGGCGGUUUCCCGGCGCCCCCGCCCUGCCUGGCACCCCAGUUGGCGCCGCGUCCGGAGAUGGGCGGGCGUGGUGGCGCGGGCGUGCUUUGGUUUUUAGUUCGUUCUGCUGUGGAAAGGCCCAGCCUGGAGCUCUCCAACUCCCUAACUUGAAGAGCUGAGCGCCGAAAAGAUGCCGCAGGAAUCUGGGGCGGAAAAUUGGGCGCAAGAAGCUCAGAUGCUUGAAACGUUUCUGACUGAAGCCUCUGAACUCACGAUGCGGGUUUUGGGGGUGGUUUCCCCAGGGUGGGGGGCUGUUCUUUGGUUCCUGACGCAUUCAGCGUCUGCGCGGGGCGCGCGGAGCGGGCCGCCCCAACCCGGGCCCUGCGGUGCCACGCGGUGCCCACGCGUGCCUUGUCAUCUGCUUGACCCAGACCCUGAGGGGCGAGCUGCGCUUCGACAUCAGAAAGGCGGGGACCCUGCACGGCUUCACGGCCUGGUUUAGCGUCCACUUCCAGAGCCUGCAGGAGGGGCAGCCGCCGCAGGUGCUCAGCACCGGGCCCUUCCACCCCACCACACACUGGAAGCAGACGCUGUUUAUGAUGGACGACCCAGUCCCUGUCCAUACGGGAGACGUGGUCACGGGUUCAGUUGUGUUGCAGAGAAACCCAGUGUGGAGAAGGCACAUGUCUGUGGCUCUGAGCUGGGCUGUCACUUCCAGACAAGACCCCACAUCUCAAAAAGUUGGAGAAAAAGUCUUCCCCAUCUGGAGAUGACAGUUGAUGCUUUAUUUGGAAAGCAGUGUGCAUAUCUUGAGGGGUGAUGAACACAAGCAAACCAAGUUGCACCUGGCUUCUGCACACUCCUGCGAAAGUCGGUGAACAUUCACUCCACACUGACCCCUCCCUAGCCUGGCAGGUGAUGUCAGGGUCCUUCACAGACAAACACGCUUGGGCUCGGCAGGAGCUGCUGUGGCCACCCCCGCUGCCCGGUGUCUGCCCUCUAGAAGUAGGCUGUGUUUCCAGGUGUUCACCCGUGGUGCCCACAGUGCCGACCCGUGGCUAGGUCGGAGCUCCAUGUUCCUAAGCUAGGUCUAGGUCUACACUCCUAGGACGCACGCAUAUCAGCCCGUGUACCCUGUGACAGUGACUGUCCCCGCCUCCUGUGUUAGUGGUGCCCUUACUGCUGUCGCUCAUCCACUCGUGUGGGACGUAGGAUUGCACAGGGCUGUGCCAGUGGCGUGUAGGGAACACUGCCCUGGCUCAGCGUGCGAGCUAAGGUGGCGAUGUACGCGAUGGGACUCUGCAUGGGAUAGUACAGUUGUGUAGACGUCUUCCAAAUAAAUUAUGUGUUGCUGCAUCGCAUAUGCUCAAUAAAUAUUUUUAAAUGAGUGAAUGUUG